CCUACGGGGGACUGCAGUGAGGAAUAUUGGUCAAUGGCCGGAAGGCUGAACCAGCCAUGCCGCGUGAAGGUCAGUGCACUAUGGGCGUUAAACUUCUUUUGUGCGGGAGCAAUAAUGGUCACGUGUGGCCAGACUAGAGUACCGUACGAAUAAGCAUCGGCUAACUCCGUGCCAGCAGCCGCGGUAAUACGGGGGAUGCAAGCGUUAUCCGGAUUUAUUGGGUUUAAAGGGUGCGUACGCUGUGAGGUAAGUCAGCGGGGAAAUGCCCCCGCUCAAAGGGGUGACGUGCCAUUGAUACUGGCUUGCUGGAAUGCGGAUGCCAUGGGAGGAAUGUGUGGUGUAGCGGUGAAAUGCAUAGAUAUCACACAGAACACCGAUUGCGAAGGCAUCUCACGAAUCCGCGAUUGACGCUGAUGCACGAAAGCGUGGGUAUCAAACAGGAUUAGAUACCCGGGUAGUC
rnacentral:rRNA from 1 species